GAGAGUAUAGCUCAAUGGUAGAGCACAUGCUUAGUUAGCACGCACUAGGUUCUGGGUUCAAUCCCCAGUACCUCCA
rnacentral:tRNA from 1 species